AUUGAACGCUGGCGGCAGGCUUAACACAUGCAAGUCGAGCGGGGGAAGGUAGCUUGCUACCGGACCUAGCGGCGGACGGGUGAGUAAUGCUUAGGAAUCUGCCUAUUAGUGGGGGACAACAUCUCGAAAGGGAUGCUAAUACCGCAUGCGUCCUACGAGAGAACGCCGGGGAUCUUCGGACCUUGCGCUAAUACAUGAGACUAAGUCGGAUUAGCUAGUUGGUGGGGUAAAGGCCUACCAAGGCGACGAUCUGUAGCGGGGCUGAGAGGAUGAUCCGCCACACUGGGACUGAGACACGGCCCAGACUCCUACGGGAGGCAGCAGUGGGGAAUAUUGGACAAUGGGGGGAACCCUGAUCCAGCCAUGCCGCGUGUGUGAAGAAGGCCUUAUGGUUGUAAAGCACUUUAAGCGAGGAGGAGGCUACUUUAGUUAAUACCUAGAGAUAGUGGACGUUACUCGCAGAAUAAGCACCGGCUAACUCUGUGCCAGCCGCCGCCGUAA
rnacentral:rRNA from 1 species